GUUGGGGACUCAUGAGAGACUGCCGGGGUCAACUCGGAGGAAGGUGGGGAUGACGUCAAAUCAUCAUGCCCCUUAUGUCCAGGGCUUCACACAUGCUACAAUGGUCGGUACAACGCGCAGCGACACUGUGAGGUGGAGCGAAUCGCUGAAAGCCGGCCUUAGUUCGGAUUGGGGUCUGCAACUCGACCCCAUGAAGUCGGAGUCGCUAGUAAUCGCAGAUCAGCAACGCUGCGGUGAAUACGUUCCCGGGCCUUGUACACACCGCCCGUCACGUCAUGAAAGUUGGUAACACCCGAAGCCAGUGGCUCAAACUCGUUAGGGAGCUGUCGAAGGUGGGAUCGGCGAUUGGGACGAAGUCGUAACAAGGUAGCCGUACCGGAAGGUGCGGCUGGAUCACCUCCUUUCUAAGGAG
rnacentral:rRNA from 1 species